rnacentral:rRNA from 1 species
ACAGGAUUAGAUACCCUGGUAGUCCACGCCGUAAACGAUGAGUGCUAAGUGUUAGGGGGUUUCCGCCCCUUAGUGCUGCAGCUAACGCAUUAAGCACUCCGCCUGGGGAGUACGGUCGCAAGACUGAAACUCAAAGGAAUUGACGGGGGCCCGCACAAGCGGUGGAGCAUGUGGUUUAAUUCGAAGCAACGCGAAGAACCUUACCAGGUCUUGACAUCCUCUGACAAUCCUAGAGAUAGGACGUCCCCUUCGGGGGCAGAGUGACAGGUGGUGCAUGGUUGUCGUCAGCUCGUGUCGUGAGAUGUUGGGUUAAGUCCCGCAACGAGCGCAACCCUUGAUCUUAGUUGCCAGCAUUCAGUUGGGCACUCUAAGGUGACUGCCGGUGACAAACCGGAGGAAGGUGGGGAUGACGUCAAAUCAUCAUGCCCCUUAUGACCUGGGCUACACACGUGCUACAAUGGACAGAACAAAGGGCAGCGANACCGCGAGGUUAAGCCAAUCCCACAAAUCUGUUCUCAGUUCGGAUCGCAGUCUGCAACUCGACUGCGUGAAGCUGGAAUCGCUAGUAAUCGCGGAU